GCGGACGGGCUGGGGGAAAGCGCUCUCGGUUGGAAGGUGUCUGCCCCGGUUGCUUCGCGGCUGGCCUCGCUGCCCCCUGCCGGCUCGGGGCGCUGCCGAGCGGGAGCCGUCGGCCGGGGGUUGUUCUGGGGUGAGCAGGGCGCGCCGGCACGGCCCCUUGUUGGAGCGGGGCUGCCCCGAGGGAAGGGAGCUCGUGGAGAAGCAGCAAAGCGCCGUGUGGAGAGGAGCGAGUGCCUCCUUCCUUACUGCACCCCGUGUUUGGAGAGGAAGAUAGACUGAACAUUGCAAGACGAGUAUUUUCAAAUUUUGUUCUAAGAAAUGUGCUUCUCUUGAUAAAGACUUUUCCAAGAAAGUUAAUGCACUCAUAUUUCUGGAUAUUAUUCCACAAUUCCUCUUCUCGUUUGCAGAUUGAAGCCUGGACGGGGGUGUAAAAAAUGAAAACAAACACAAAACUUCCUGAUUUCAAUUUCAGUUCCACUGUGAUUAUUUGAAGUGUGACCUGUCUUACUUUAUGAUCAGAUUUGCAUGCUGAAUGUUCUGGAUGAUUUAAAAACACUUUAGGGGAUAAUGGGCAGAUCCCUUUUCGGCUCGUCCUGCAUUUGACCUGUCGUUCAAGCUAACAUGAUACGUACUCAGUAGAUUCAAAGAGGGGAAUCUUUCCUGUGUUUAAUACACAGCCCGCUAUGUUUUAUUACACUGACAUUUUCGGGUCAUUAAUCCUAAAUGUGCCCUUUUGUAUUUCAUCUAGUUAAUUCACAUUCCCAUGAAUGAGCCACAGUAAUACAGCAUGUAUGAAAAGUUCUUACCUUGAGAUACUUUAAUUCUUGAAGUUAAGAAAAAGCUCCUUCUUCUGUGUCUUUGCUGAUCUUAGAUAUUUGAUUCACCCCCCAUUAUCUUUUUAUUUAAACACAUGGGAAUCCUUCCCUUUUUUCCCCCCACUUGAUUCAUGGCUGUGAGCAGAGACAUUGCUCAUUAGUGAAUCAGAGCACAUUCUGCAGCUUGCAAGUUUGAGAAGUGGUUGCAAUGAGCUAAGUCGUGUUUGUGGCACGGCAGUCAAGAGUGUCCUGAUGGAGACUGAAAAUGCCCUAUGUGUAUUCUGUGCACUGUCCAGAUUGCCUUCCUCCAAGAAGUGACAGAUCAAGUGAAAGGUCUUCCUUCUCAUGAAUAUCAUCCUGUUCACAGAGCCAAGAAAGGCAGCCAAACUUCACAGCUUAUUCAUCUAGGCAACAAUAAGGGUGAGCUGGCAAACAAGUGGUUCCAUGAGACCUUCACUUCCAAAGAUUUGCAGAUUCCUUUAUUGGUCUGAAGAGGCUGCCCACAGUAUUAAAGCAUGAAUUUUGUUUAGCACGUGGUUCUGUGUCACUAAUAUUUAAUUACCCAAAAGAACAGCUUUGAGCUAAUUCAAGAGCAGGUGUGUGGUCAUUUCAAAUUAGAAAGAUUACACAGUAGAGAUAGUUUUGUUAGAGUGGAUUUUUUUGGCAGCCUUCAGCAAUGCCUGAUCUCGGCAGCCUGAUGGGGCAUCCAGCCUGCAUCUUCCUUGCCCUCUAUCACAUGAAAUGUUUGUACAGAGGCAACGUGGUGCUUCUGGGGGCGGCUUCCAGAAUGAGCUGCUGCAGAAGUAUAUCUUUCCAAGAUCAGCCAGUUUUCAUUGAGAACUUUCUCACCAAAGUGCAUCGGGCCAUCAUUGGCAUUUCUGUUGUGCAAGAACAACACAGGGUUUAAGCCACCCUUGAACAGCUGCAAUAGCAGUAGGAAAGCAGUCUUUUUUCCCGGCCACAGCUAUGCAGUGAUAUGAAGCAUCCCUUCACAGUGCAGCUUUUGUUUUCCUCUGGUGUAGCAGAGAACAUCAAGCAACAUAUGUGGACAUGGAGUUAAUGAAGUCAGUUGGUAGCACUGCUGAAAACAGUUGGUACUGAUCAAAAUUAUCAUCCCUGUCCCCUUGUUCCCCAGGGUUUGUGAGAUCAGCUCUUGUCUGGGACAGAAGACAGAGUGCCACUGAGCAUCAGGAAGAUUGUCUUUGUUAUUUGAAACCUAAAAGCACUAAUUUUUGAUGGUGCAUAGCCAACCAGCCUUGGGCUUGGGAAGGUGACAGCUUCCUGUGUGAGCUGGGAGGUGUCACCCAUGAAGGUCUCGGCCUGUACAUUCUGUGGCCAAAGAAGACACAUGGGAAAGCUGUUCAGCCUGCAGCGGCAACAGAGUGGGGGGCGAUUUCUUUAUUCCUCGUCUCCUGAGCUGGCAAAUCUUUCAUCAGCAGGACAGAUGAAAUGAGUUAUCAUGACUUUACUGCUGUCCAUUUCAGCUGGCUGAUUUGGCAAAGAAUAUGGCACUCACAUCUUCCAUAUCUCCUGCUCAUUUGAUGGUGCGUAGCCGUGUAGCGUACAAACCUACUGCUGGGACUGUUUAGAGCAAUGGAGUUGCUCAACCACCCUGAUAUGGUAUGAGUCCACUUCUUGUGUUUAGCAGCAACCCAGCUGUUGCAUUGCCACUUCAGGACAAGGCUUCAGCAAGGCUGUGCAGUGUGACUAAGAGGAAGCUGGAGGAUUGCUGAGCUGCCCUUCCAAACCAGGCUCCACUUUUCACGCCACUUCCUUCACCGAAGAGAGUCAAAAGAGCAGAUGGUGACAGGGAAAGAGUGCAACAAGUGAAACUACAGCCAGUCCCCCCACCAGCUGCAGUUUGUUCCUGUCCUGUGAAAACUGGGAGGGUCAUGUUGUCAGGGACAACUUGACUAAUUGUUUUCUGCUGAGUGGUUGACAGCUGUUUGCUGUAACUUGAAAUCAUGCAUUUGUUGGACAUGAGCAGUAAAUCAUCUUUUCUCUGAUUUUCCUGUUCCCAGUUGCUGUUUCCCCCUGAGGCCCUUUGUAUCCCAUUCUUGGAGCCAGGCCCUGCUGACUCUGAAAUCCCAGCCGUACUGUCCCAUUCACUGCAGCUCUUUGCCACAGGGUUUCAAAUGCUUGAGAUGUCAACCCUUAAUAACUCUGAUGCCAUCCAUCCCUGCCACAAGAGCCCCCAGAUAAAGCUCCCAGCUGGAAACGAGUACAGGAAGUUAUUGAAAAACAAAUACAAAAAUAAAACCAAAUCUUGAACAAAAGGGGAUGUGGCAGCUAUUUCUAGACUUACUUCAAUUGUAGGUGUGGAAGAUGGGCACUUCCCAAGUUCUUGUCUGGGAUCAGCAGUCAGAACUUUUGAGAUUUGUCUUUUGCUCUUAGCUUUUCCAGGUCCCUUUGAUGGCCCCACUGAAGCAUCUGUGGGAAAUGGUGAACUGUAUCUUGAUGUGGAUUGCCCACAAAUGUCUGCAGCAGUAUGUAAGGAGUGGGGUUGGGAUGGACUGUUUCUGAGGAACAACAGCUGUUUUUAUGGCUUGGAUAGUUUUAGAGCUUGACUUCUGUCAUUGACAGUGCUGUUUUGGCACACAUGUGAAUGCCAAGGCAAAGGCAAGGUAUCUGUUGCAAGGCAGGAAUAUAGGAUGAGAUCUGUGACAAAGAAGCCUGACUAUGGUGAGCGUCUGCACACAAUGGAGAUGGCCAAUACAUGUAAGACUGUAGGCUUGCAGAUGACAUCUAAGGAUCUUUAUCUUCGAAUAGGAUGAGCAGAGUGGAGUCAAGAGGGCAAUGGGGCAGACUUUUGGGAUGGGUCUGAUUGUGGAAGAGACACUGAAUUUAUGCUAUGGCAAAGCCAGCUUAAAAUCUAUUGAUACAGAGUUGAACUUUACAACUACUGGUUCUAGAAGCUACAUCUGUAACUCAGUUUCACACCUGUAUGCACUCUGCUUUCACCAAGCCAGCCCUCUUCCAGCCCUCUUGCUCACAAAGGGUUAAAUUUGUCAGCCUGAACACAUAGGUAAGCCAAGUUUGUUUCCAAAAAUAAACAGACGUGCACUGUGUAGUGCUCCAGCAGACACAAAUGCAUACAUUGCAUUUGGUAUGCAAAUUGCGUAAUGGUAAGUGUGGCUGAUUUGUUGUUUGCAUCAGCAUUUCUUCAGCUUGUGAAAUGUGCUAUCUCAGAGAUAAAAUAAAUAAGCCCAUCUUUAACAUUUUUAACCAAAAUAUGUAAAACACAUUCUAUUCCAUUCUAAUUCUAAUCUGCUACCUAAACAACUGGACAGAUGGAUUUUCCUGCCUUACAGUUUGUGUUAAAUAAUCCUGGUGAAAGCAGAUAGGAAACAAUGAUAUUGUUUUGUGCCUGAACAUUUGCUGAAUGGUGAAAAAUUGAACAGAUAGUACAUCUUUUCCAAGUUCUUUUACCUCCCACGAGUAAUGGCACUAAAUAGGGAGAUACAAAGAUAAUGGAGGGUAUCAGAACCAGUACCCAGUGAGAAAAUACCCAUACCUAGGAUAUUCUCUCUGAAGUUACUCAACUGGAUUCCAUUUCUUUCAGGCUCUUAAACAGUCUCAGAUAGGAUACAGCUGACCAGAUAAAAUGACUUUGUAUGUUCCCCAUCUUCUCUUUUGACUUCUGAUUUUCUCUUUUGUUUGGGAUUUAGACUUCGGAGUUUACAGAUUUUACCUCUUUCUGUAAAUGUUAUGCUUUUUAUUAUUAACUCUAUUCUUUCAGUGUAAAUCUGAGGUUUUUGUUAACAGUUAACAUUGUUUUUCAUAUAGUUAAGCAGGCUGAAUAGUUGUAAAAAUGAUGACAGAAGUGAAAAAAAGUCUACCCAUGGCAGAGAGAGGUAUGUGUUUCAUAAUCUGCAGAUGCAGAUUAAAAUGCAAAAAUAUCUACUUGACUGAGCAGUAUCCUGAAUGAGAGAAGAACUGUAAGACAGUCCUUAAAACCAUGUAGUGGAUUAGAUUUAUAGAUAAAUACACAAAUGUUUUCCCUAGAAAGGCAAAUGUGUCUCUUCUAGAAGGAACGCUACUCAAGGUGGUAGCUGUUGUCCCAUGGCUCAGUGACAUUACUCAAAAUGUCGCUCUGCUUUGCCAUCACCUUUGCACGCAUGUAGUGCCUUGUCAAGGACUGACGUUACCAGGCCUCCAAAGUGGCUUCAUGCCCUGGUGUGUCAAGUCGAUGUCUGCCAAGCAUGGUGAUGGGGUCAUUGAGCAACAGCCAGUUGAUCUCUCAAGCUCACCAUCAGAAGAACUAUUCACAGCAGUCCCAACGCGGUAGAAAAAUUCUCUUCCUACCAGUGACAGCUAUAGCCCUGACAAAUACUUCAAGCAAAAACUGCCAAAUGACACCUAUUCUGCUAAUCCGGAGAGUAACUUCCAGAAGGUCAGAAUGCUUCAGAACAAGCAGGGAAGUGGCACACAGCAAGCUCAUGGCCAUGCCUGCCACAAUGAAGAAAAUCAAGGAAUCAGAGCAAAGAUAUCAGUAGCUGCCACCCCCACAUUUGUGCCUCAGACUUUUCUUAGAUAUCUCUGUUUAUAAAAGAUCAAGUUGAAUGCAAAAACAAAGAAUAAAACAAAACAAAACAAAACAAAAAACCA